rnacentral:rRNA from 4 species
GUGGGUAGUUUGACUGGGGCGGUCUCCUCCCAAAGAGUAACGGAGGAGCACGAAGGUUGGCUAAUCCUGGUCGGACAUCAGGAGGUUAGUGCAAUGGCAUAAGCCAGCUUGACUGCGAGCGUGACGGCGCGAGCAGGUGCGAAAGCAGGUCAUAGUGAUCCGGUGGUUCUGAAUGGAAGGGCCAUCGCUCAACGGAUAAAAGGUACUCCGGGGAUAACAGGCUGAUACCGCCCAAGAGUUCAUAUCGACGGCGGUGUUUGGCACCUCGAUGUCGGCUCAUCACAUCCUGGGGCUGAAGUAGGUCCCAAGGGUAUGGCUGUUCGCCAUUUAAAGUGGUACGCGAGCUGGGUUUAGAACGUCGUGAGACAGUUCGGUCCCUAUCUGCCGUGGGCGCUGGAGAAUUGAGGGGGGCUGCUCCUAGUACGAGAGGACCGGAGUGGACGCAUCACUGGUGUUCGGGUUGUCAUGCCAAUGGCACUGCCCGGUAGCUAAAUGCGGAAGAGAUAAGUGCUGAAAGCAUCUAAGCACGAAACUUGCCCC